CAAAGAGAAGCAAAGCCGCGAGGUAGAGCAAAUCUCAAAAAAACAAUCUCAGUUCAGACUGCAGGCUGCAACUCGCCUGCACGAAGUCGGAAUUGCUAGUAAUCGUAGGUCAGCAUACUACGGUGAAUACGUUCCCGGGCCUUGUACACACCGCCCGUCAAACCAUGAGAGUUGGCAACACCCGAAGUCGGUAGUCUAACCGCAAGGAGGACGCCGCCGAAGGUGGGGUUGAUGAUUAGGGUUAAGUCGUAACAAGGUAGC
rnacentral:rRNA from 1 species